AAUUUUUGUAAAAAAUGUAAUUAUAAUUUAAUUAUUAUUUUAGGAGUAUCUGGUUGGUGAUCCUGGAGGAGUUUUUGGACAUUAUACAGUUCCUGACUCCAUUAAUAUCAUAUUGCUAUAUUAAAGCAGAUGAAGCUUCACCAAAUGUAAUGUUGCCUUAUCUUGUUUGAGUUAAGGGUAAUAACCUAACCUAACCUAAUUUUGUUGUCUUUAAUAAACUUACACUUAAACAUCAUUUCUUCUAAAAUUACUAAUUUAAUCAGCUUAUUGAAUGUUUAAUUUUUUUAAUCCAGUAACCUAACAGACUAAUUUAAAAAUAUGUAUUAUAAAAAAAAAAAAAACAAAUAAAAAUAUUAUAAUUCUUAGUUUUUAUGAUAUGAAAUAAUUUCUUAAAUACUAUUGAAAAAAAAAAAAACAUGAACAAAUGUUAUAUUAUUGAUUUUUUUGUUUUAAGUUCUUAAAAUAUGAUUUAUUAUUUUGUUUCAAUUUUAUUAACAAUAAUAAUAUCUUUUUUUUCACUUUUUUAAAGAAGUUUUUCACAUUAAUUGCUUUUUAAAAUUUUAAUUUAGUGACUACUUUGCAAAUAAGAUAGCUUUGUGUUAAUAGAAAUAUUAUUUCAGAUUGAGCACAUAAAUGAGAAGACCAGCCAAUUCAUUUAAAGUAGAUCUUUAAAUAAAAUAUUCAAAGAUACUCUAAAAAAGAUAAGAAAAAUUAUGAAAUGGAAAAGGUAC
rnacentral:lncRNA from 1 species